AUGGAGAUGGACGCACCGGGUGGUGAUGGUCGAGACGGUCCCCGGGAACGGCGAGGCCACAGCGAGGCAGGGAGGCAGAACCUCGAUGUGCGGCCUCAGUCCGGGGCAAACGGGCUACCUAAACACUCCUACUGGUUGGACCUCUGGCUCUUCAUCCUUUUCGACGCGGUGGUAUUUCUCCUCGUGUAUUUUUUGCCAUGCCUACUCAACGUGAACACAGCAAGGAUGAGGACCUUUAGGAUGAUCCACUUCCACUUAGUAAGUGCUUUUGUCACCAGAAAGGGACAUAGUAGAGCUGACAGAAAAUAUGGCCAUUACAACCAGAACAUCUCAUAAAUGAAGAAACCAGGAAUGAAAACGACUAUCCUGACUUCUUAAGGAAUAUCAGAAAUACUUACAAAGCAUUCUGCAGCGUCAUCCAUAAGGCCAAGUUGAAAUCGCUGCUCAUCUUUGAAGCUUUCUGCAAGAGCAUGCCUUAUGUUAUCUGAGGGAAGUGCUUUUUCUCGACUGUGUUGGAACUGUGCAAAUAUUGUCUGGGAAUCAACAAGAAAAUCAGUAAGUUUAAUGCCAGCUUUAAAAACAUUUCAGUAAUUUCAUUAUGACACAGGGAAACUCAAAACACUAUAUAUACUUAGAAAAUAAUACAGAAGUCUUUUGCUCUAAAAUUUCAUAAAAAAUUAAUUAUUUGUAUAAUCAAGUGUGGAAAUGUUUACACCAGCCUCUAAAUUAAAUGUUAGGGGACACAAAAAUUCAACAGAUAGGGUUCCCAGGUCCCACUCUCAGAGAUGCUGACUAAGUCUUAGGUGAGGCUCAUUUUUAAAUUAAUCCCCAGAUGAUGCUACUACUGGUUGUUUAAGGAACAGAGUUUUGAGAUUUAAGUUGCUUUAAAUCUAAAAAUAUACAAUAGGAAUUAGAAUUAUGCUGAAAAAAUAAACAUAUAAUCACAAAAAAAAAUUAGGAUGUACUAGUCUUAAAAAAAAAAAGUAACCUAAAGGAACCUAAUAAUUUAUAAAAAAUUUUCUACUAGGGUCUUAAGAAUACCUCAGAAAAUGACAAAUUUUGAUUUAAAAAUUAGACAAUUUAACAGAAUGACAACUUCCCACUAUUAUUUAACUAAACUUACUUUUGAAAAAUGCAAAUGUACAGUUUACAAGGAGAUUCAGAAAAAAAAAUAAUAAUGACUUUUAACUUUUUUUUUUUUUUUUUGAGAUGGAGUUUCGCUCUCCUCACCCAGGCUGGAGUGCAAUGGCGUGAUCUCGGCUCACCGCAACCUCCGCCUCCUGGGUUCAGGCAAUUCUCCUGCCUCAGCCUCCUGAGUAGCUGGGAUUACAGGCACGCGCCACCGUGCCCAGCUAAUUUUUUUGUAUUUUUAGUAGAGACGGGGUUUCACCAUGUUGACCAGGAUGGUCUCAAUCUCUUGACCUCGUGAUCCACCCGCCUUGGCCUCCCAAAGUGCUGGGAUUACAGGUGUGAGCCACCGCACCCGGACAACUUUUAAGAAAAGGUCCUACCACCCCCAAGUUAUCAGUUUUCUUAACUUAGAGAAUUACAGGUUGAAUAUCCCCAAAUCAAAAAUCUGAAAUCCAAAAUGCUUCAAAAUCUGAAACUUUUUUAGCACUGACAUCAUGCUUAAAGAAAAUGCUUUUAAAUUUGGGAUGCUCAAUCAGUAAAUAUAUAAAUGCAAUUAUUCCAAAAUAAAAAAAAAAAAUCUAAAAUCUAGAACACUGCUGGUCCUGAGCAUUUCAGACAAGGAAUACCCAACCUGUACUUCUAAUCUAAUCUGAAGAAACUGGAAACAUCAUUCAGUAUCUAAUCUAAACCUAAGAAACUGGAAACAUGGGAUUAUAGUUGUUAGAUUUUUCAAUUUUCCUUAUUAAGCUUAAGCAAGAAAAAACAUUUUAAUAAAUACCAAUUUUAUGACUAUCAUCUUACAUGGAAGAAAGCAGGGAAAAAAGUAUUCAAUGACACCCCACCAAAGAAGUAUUGGUCACAUUCAGUCCUAUGUUAACUCAAGGGGUCAUGUCAUCUCAAAAAAAAUAUUUUUAAGAUCAACAUACAAGGAAAACAUUUCACGAAUCUGUUUCACUACUGCAGAAAAUACAAUUUAUAAAUAAGAAAUUUUUAAAAAAUACAGAUGUCAAUUGAUAUUAGAUACCCACAACUAUAUUUGAGCUAUUAUAACAGCUAAAAUUAUGAAUAGUAAAAGAUGAAAAACAACUUUCAGAUUUUAUCUCUUAUUUAGACAAUUCACUUCCAGGUAAUGUUGAAGAUUUUUAAUCCUAUGUGAGACUGUCGCUCAUUCAUUCAACAUGUAUUUAUUGCCCCCCCUAGUAUAUGUUAGGCAUUGUUCUACACUAGGAAAUGGAUGACAACCCUGCCCACAUGGAGAUUAUAUUCUAGUUACAGUAAUGAGAAGGCAAAGAAGUAAUUAUAUAAUAUCAGAAUGUGAUAAGUACAGUAGAGAAAAAUAGAGCAGUGUAAUAGGGAUAGAAAUGCCAGGGAUAUUACAGAAGGAGGCAGCUUACCUUUUACCUAGAGUAGUUGGGGAAGGCCUCACUGAUGGAAAAAGGAAUGAGGAGAGGCAUAAAGGAAAUAAGGGUGUUAGCCAUGAGGACAUCUGGAAGAAAAGCAUUCCAGACAAAAGGAGUAACAGUGAGAAGACUUUGAUAUGGAGACCAGCUCUGAGAAAUAGAGCCCAGUUUGGCUAAAAUGCAAUGUAUUUAUAUGUGUUUUUGACAGGGGAAGAGAGUAAGGCAAGCUCAGGGAAGAGUGCAGGGCUAUAAGAGAGUAGGACUAGGAAAUUUAUUAUCAUAAGUUUCACAAUUAAACAAAACUUUCAAAAUUUACUGUGGAAUAAAUAAAAUGUGACACAGUAAUUUAAUCUAGGUUCAUUCUUCAUUUCCUAAAUAUAACCCUAUUUUGCCGUGUUCUUAAAAAAAGAAAAUAUAAAAUUUCCUUCUUUAGUGAUUUACUCAAACAGCCUUUUCAGGAACAUAAUGAAAUUAAGGAACAUACACUUUAAAAAAAAAAAUUUCUGUAUCUAUGUGUGUGUGUUAUGAAUAUUCAAGAAUAUUCAAAAAAUGAAACAUUUAUCUCUAAAAUGUGUAACAAAAUCUUAAAUGAUCUGGUAAAAGUCUUCAGUGACACAAAUGAGUUGCUAAUAUAUACCGGAUGCUCUGUUUCUUUGUCUUCCUUCUAUUUUCCUCAGCAGAGCAGCCACAGGGAUCUAGUUCAAACAUUAUAGCUAGUUAAAAGAGACUGUAUCACUCUUCCACUCAAAACAAUCCCCAAUCUCCCUAAAUCACUCAAAGACAAAGCCACAAUCCUUACAGAGGCCUAUAAGGCCCUACACAAUCUAAACCCCUGAUCUAGUUAUUUACUGUCCUGUAACUAAACCACCCCAAAAUGUAGUUACUAAAAAAAUACUUUUAUUUUGAUCACAAAUCUGCAAUUUGGGUAGGAACAGCACGUCUCUGCUCCACCUGAAAUCAUUUUGGACAGUUUGAAUGCUGGGAUCUGGAAUAUUUGAAGGGCACUCUUUCAUGUCUGGCGAUUGAUGCUGGCUGUGGGCUGGGAACUCAGCUCUAGCUGUGUCCAGAAUGCCUUCAUGGAGUCUUUUUGCAUGGCUACCUGGUUUCCUCUUCAUGGUGGCUCACUUCCAAGAAUGAGCAACUCAAGAGACAGAGCUGGGUGAGAGCUCUAUCGCCUUUUCUAAGCUAACCUAACCUCAGAUAUCUUGCUUGCAGCCUCGUUCUGCCAAAGUCUAAGUUUUUGACAGAAAUCAGUCAUAAGGCUGAUUUUUUGACAGAAAUCAGCCAUUCAAGGAAUUUGAUUUUGGAUAAGGAAGCAUGCAAAAGAAUCUGCAGACAUGUUUUAAAGCCACCUCAGCUACCCUCACCUCAGAGCUCAUCUUCUACCAGUCCCUUCCUUGCUCACAAAGCUCCUACCACCCAGACUUCCUUGGUGUCCUUAAGUAUACUCACACCUCAAGGCCUUUGCAGUCGCUGUUUCUUUGUCUGCCUGGAAGGCUCUUCAAAGUCUCAAUUCAAAUAUCAGUUUCUCAGUGAGGUUUUCCUGACUACACAAUACUCCCUUUUUUGUUUACCUGAUGUAUUUUUCCACUGUUAUAAAUUAUUACCAUCUAACAUACUCUAUAAUAUUUGGCUUUCUUAUUAUUGUCUCCUCCUCUGUAAGAAUACAAGCUCCAUGAAAACAGGAAAUUUUUAGCCGUUUUGUUCACUGCUGUAUCCUCAGUAACUACACUGGUACCCAGAACUCAGUAGUAGCUCAAAAAGCAUUUGUUAAAAUGAUUAAGAAUAAUUUCAAAAUAAUGAAAAAGAUAAUGUUCCUAAUAAUUUGUAAUAUUUAGAAUAUUAAUUUUUAACUGUCCUUAUAUAAAAGAUGAAAAUAAAAACACAAACCUGAAUAAUUUAUUCUUUAAGAAUUCAUCUUCAAAACUGUUAACCACCUGACAGUGAACUUUAGUUACAACAAAUUGACCAAAUACAUCAACUAUCAAACUUAAAUUUACCAAGUAUAUCAACUAUCAAACUUAAAUUUUUGAGGGAACAAUUGAUAGUAAUUUUUCAGAGCUAUUAAAAGGUUACCUUCAAUGCACAAAAUAUACAGGCAUCUCCCUGACAAACAUGUCCAGUCAAAACCCGCAAGCUUCGUCGGAAUAUAUCCAAUUGCCAUAAAACCUAAAAAAGAACAAGAUGUGAAGGAAAAAAACACACUGAGAUUUUUCUUACUGUAACAAAAGACAGAUUUAGAUAUUUUAAAAAUGGCAAAAGGCUAAUAAGUAGCUUCUUUUAAUUUCCUGUACAUGAUCAGACAUACAUAACCACUGGCAAUAACAACAAGUAUAAAAUUGCUACAUGCAUGUUGUAUAUACAUAAAUGUUGGAUUCAGAAGAUAUUCUUACUGGUGCACAUGAAAAACCAUGACAGGCAUGGAGCAGGGAAAAACUAACUCCUCAUUGAGGAUUUGUUCUGAACAGGAAACCUGGAAAACUAAAUGGAGAAGCUGGCAGAGACAUGAAAGAGGAAGUGAUUAUAAUACUUGGAACAAACUGAAAUUUUGAAAGGAAAUAUAAUUAGACUUUAAAGCCAGAGUGUAUUAAAUUAGGGUCUGCACAUUAUGGCAAGAAAAAGGGGUAAGCAGAGGUAUGUGGCGUCACUGUACACUGAACAAGAAAGUGGGUACCUAUAUAGUAAUGAGGUUACAGCAUGGUAAGAAGCAGCCAUUAAUAAAUUACCUAAAUAUGUACUUGCUGCAAUUAUCCACUUAUCUUCUGCUACUAAAAGACAAAGACAAAGCAAACCCAAAAAGACUGCCACUGUAAAAACAAAUCAGUCCCAUGCUUAAAAUCAUUCUGAAAAACCUGAAUUCUACACAAUGAGAAUAAGAAUAGUACUUCUAUCUCACAGAGUUUCUGUCAGGAUUAAAUAAUAUGUAAUAAUAUGUAAUGUUUUUAGAGCACGGUAUGGUACUCAACUGUCAUGCAAUGAGUACCAGCUGCUAUUGUGGCUGUUACUAUUACAACAAACAAAUAAGAUCUUCAGAUUUCCCUAUCUUUUAGUUGUGUCCUCAAACAACGAACUAAGAAAAUCUAUUCAUGAUCUCUCCUUCCUCCCAAAUAACAACAAAAAGCUAAUAAAAACAAACUGGUUUUAAUGUUUCCUAUAUUUUCAACUGCUCCAUAACUAAAGGUCAUUUCAGAAUUUCUCUUUGAAAGUUACCUUUUCUUAAAGCACAAUAGUAUCAAGUUUUCUGUCAACAGAUAACUCAGUUUUUGCAAAGCACUUGAUGAUGUUUAAUAACUUUCUUUAGUAUCAUGUCCUAACAUAUUUUUUAAAAUACACUGAAAUCUGUUUGACCAACAAUGAAGAUGAUUAAUGACAGCACAACUUUAGAAACAGUAUACCACUGAGGUUAAUAAAAUAACCUCUGAAGGCAGGUGUCUGAUUUCUAAAUCUGGGUUUCCCAUGUACCAACUCCUGAACUGACUUCGGCAAAAUAUUUUCUGGGACUCAUUUUUCUCAUCAGCAAAGUAAAGAUAAAUGUAUUACUCACCUCUUGGGGCUGUUGUAAGGAUUAAAUUAGGUAACAUAGGUAAUGUUCCAACAAGCAGUAAGAACACAAUAAAUGUGAACUAUUAAAUAGUAUUACAAUAUUAAAUGUUAUAACUUUGUUCCUCUAACGUUAAAACCACACUAAUAUGUUAUAUUAUACCUAAUUGUACUGCUUUUGCAUUAGAUAAAAGUUUAAAAUAUUCAGCUAAAAUAGAAUACCCUCUAUAAUCUGUUUAUAAAGUUAAUGAAGUCUUACAAAUGUAACCAAAAUAUUUUCUGUGAUUACAAAAAUUCUCAGUUACACUGGCUCAAAUAACAAACAAAAUGUUUUAUAUUAUUUCUUCAAAGUUCCCUGUACAUUACUGUCUUUAACAUAAUAGUAUAGAGGCUACUUUAACAAAUUCCUAUCACUAAAUAAUUAUCCUAAUUAUAGUUAAUCCUCAUCCAUUUUAUUUUAUUUGUUUUUUAGAUGGAGUCUCACUCUGUUGCCCAGGCUGGAGCACAGUGGUGCUAUCUUGGCUCACUGCAACCUCCACCUCCUGGGUUCAAAGCGAUUCUCCUAUCUCAGCCUCCUGUAGCUAGAACUACAGGCACGUGCCACCAUGACCAGCUAACUUUUGUAUUUUUGGUAGAGAUGGGAUUUUACCAUAUUGGCCAGGCUGGUCUGAAACUCCUGACCUCAAGUGAUCCACCUGCCUUGGCCUCCCAAAAUGCUAGGAUUGCAGGUAUAAGCCACCAUUCCCAGUCCCAUUUCAUUUUAAAAUGUUGAUUAUAUUCUAGCACUUAUUUUUUAAAACUUAAGGUUAAAGCUAGUUGCUGAACUAAUUAGUUUUUAGCAAUAUACACUUUUUCAUUAUUUGCAUGUAGCAAUUAAAACAGUGCCUAACAAAAUUGAUGUCGUUAUUUUUGAAUAUUUAUACAUAUUUCUUAUAUGAUUAUUCCUAAAAAAUCAGUACAUAUCUAGACACACAUUAUAUAAAGAAAUACAAACCUUUUAUCAUACAUUCUUUACUUGAAAAUAAUGUAAGAAAUAGCUUAAAUAUUAAUAAGCAAUGGCAUAUAAAUUCAUUUUUCUUAGAUGCAAACACUGCGUUCAAUAACUUCUUACAAGAGAUAUUCUAUAAUUUAUUUCUCAGCAGUUUUAAAAAAGUAUUCAUCAAAUUGCAUAUCAACAUGUGUAUUCUGAAUUUUUAAAAAGAAAGUCAGGUCUUAUCUCAUAGAAAAUCCAUUUGAAUAGUUGUCUUGUCAGGGAGAAAUGGCUUUGUGAAUUAGUUUAUAUGGCAGACAUCAGAGGCCAGCAGAUCCCCCAAAGUUGCUAGAGUUGGCAGGGCAGAGUACUGCAGAGAGAGUUACAUCAGUGGAGAACCCCACUCCAGUAUUUGGAUGUUUACUAUGAGGAAACUGUCUGAGGCAUGGGAAAGAAACGCCCAAAAGGAUUAGAGAGAAUAGUGCACAGAGCUCACACAGGCCCAAGAUAGUGCCUAUUCCUGAACCAAAGUAGAAAACUUCAUAAUUCACAAAACAAUGGUUGAAGAAAGAGAGUCUCAAGAGCAGAAAAAUUAACCCAAGAAUAAACACAGCUCUGUCCCGCCUAACAAAGUUUAAAAGUAAACUGAUCAAAUUGCUAACAAAUAAACUCUGUCCUAGAACAAAGUUCAAGAUUUUUUUUAGGAAUAUAAAAAUAUCCAUAAUCUGACAAGGUAAAACUUGUCUGACAUCCAAAAACAUGAAAGAGAUUGUAAGAAGACCAAAAUCAGACUUCUCAAAGUGAAAACUACAAUGUCUAAGACAAAAAGUACACUGGAUGCGAUUAAUAGCAGAUAGGUAAUGCGAAGGAAAAGAUAAAUGAACUUGAAGGUGUAUUAAUAGAAACCACACAAAAUAAAACACAAAGAGAAAAAAAGACCGAGAAAGAAAAUAAAGAGAGUAUCAGUGAGGUCUGGAACAACUGGACAACUUCAGGCAACCCACUACAUAUGUAACUGGAAAACCCCAAAGGAGGGAAGAGACAGAAAAAUUAUUUGAAGACACAACAAAGUAUUUCUAAAUUUGAUUUAAAUCCAAAACCCACAGAUCUAAGAUGCUCAACAAACCCAAACACAAAGAAACGUGGAGAAACCUAUACCAGGAAACAUCAUUUAAUUGCUUUAAGCCAAUGAUAAGGAGAAAAUCUUAAAAGCAGCCAGAGAAAAAGAACAAAUUACAUACAGAGAAACAAAGAUCAGAAUACUAGGUUUUUCAUUAGAAUAAUGCAAGCUAAAAUGUAGAGAAGCAAAAUCUUUAAAGUACUGAAAAAAAAUGUAAACUUAGACCCCUUUAACAAGAUAAAAAUACCUUUCAAAAACAAAAGUGGAAUGCAGAUCUUUUUCAGGCAUACAAAAGGUGAAAGAAUUCAUCACCAAUAAACGUGUAUUACAAGAAAAAUCCUUCAAGCCAAAGAAAAGAGUAUCAGAUGGAAUGCGAUCUAUGCAAAAAAGUGAUGAGCAUCAGAAAUGGCAACUAGGCAGGUGAAGUUAUGAAAGGUGACUCCAUAUCUCAUAUCAAUGUGACCUGAAGGCAAAUCUACAAAAAAGAAAAAAAAAGUUUAAAUAAAAGCAAAUGCAAAUAAGAAAAUUUUUACUUUACUAUUUGAUCACAAAUAUUGAAUAUAGAUUAAAACUCAUCAUGAAAAGUAUUAGAAUGAUAGCAUUUUAAUAUAUAUUUUAAAAUAUUUAAUCAUUUACCUUUUUAAAAUAUGUAUGUGACAUUAAUCCCUACCUACUUGAAGCUCAAUGUUCAAAACAUGGUUUCAUAAGGAAAAUAUUCUUCAAAAAUCUAGAAUUAUAUUUCAGCUAGUAUCCUAUAUUUGUCAACACUAAAUUGCUCUAUUUAUUAAUAUAUUGUUAUCCUUCUUACACAGAAUCACAUUUUUCCAAAAAAGACAGAUUUUAUGCAAACAGAUGUAAAAUUACUCAAAAUAAACCGUUAAUUCAUAAAUAAAUCUUGGUAAAUUAAAUUUCCAUGGUAUCAACAAAUGCAUACACCUGAUUAAAAGGACUUAUACAUUAAAAACAAAUACAAGAAUACCUUGUUUUGUAGUAUUUUACUUUAUACUGCCUUUUUAACAAAUUGAAGGUUUAUUCCAACCCCAUAUCAAGCCAAUCUACCAGCACCAUUUUUCCAACAGCAUGUGCUCACUUGGUGUCUAUGUCACACUUCAGUAAUUCUUUUUCAAUAUUACUAUAUCUGUUAUGCUGAUCUGUGAUAAGUUAUCUCUGAUGUUACUAUUGCAAUUGUUUUCAGGUACUAUGAACCACUCAAAAAAAAAGGAUGGCAAGCAUAAUCCAUGAAUGUGUCUGACUACUCCACUAACCAUCUGUUUCCACUAUCCUCUUCUCAGGCCCUCCUAUUCCCUGAGAUGUAGCAGUACUGAAAUGAGGUCAAUUCAUAACCCUACAAUGGCCCCUAGGUGUUCAAGUGAAAGAAGUUGCAUGUCUCUCAUUUUCAGUCAAAAGCUGGAAAUGUCUAGUCUUGGUGGGGAAGGCAUGUUGAAAGCUGAGACAGGUGGAAAGGUAGGCUUCCUACACCAAACAGUAAGCAACCCAAGUUGUGAAUGCAAGGGAAAAGCUUGAAGGAAAUUAAAAGCUCUACUCAAGUGAACACCUGAAUGAUAAGAAAGUGAAACAGCUGAUAAUUUGAGUGGUCUGGUUAGAAGAUCCAGCCAAUCACAACAUUGCUUUAAGCUAAAGCCCAAUCCAGAGCAAGGCCCUAACUCUCUUUAAUUCUAUGAAAGCUGAGAAAAAGAGGGUGAGGAAGCUAAAGAAGAAAAGUAGGAAGCUAGUAGUUGGUUCAGUAGGUUUAAGGAAAGAUGCCAUCUCCAUCUUAAUAGUGCUGUAUAGGUGAGACCAUAAUUACUUACUACAAAAAUGCAAGGUGAGUCAGCAAAUACUGAUGUUGAGAAGGUACAGCAAAUUAUCCAGAGAUCUAGCUAAGAUAACUAUGAAAGUGGCUACACUAAUUAACACAUUUUCAGUGUUGAAGAAACAGUCAUCAACUGUCAAACAGUUGAUGAAGAAACAGUUGAAGACUGACAGUGAUAUUGACAGAUGGAAGAAGAUGCCAUCUAGGACAUGCACAGUCAGAAAGAAGUCAAUGCCUGGCUUCAAAGCUUCAAAGGACAGGCUGAUUCUCUUAUUAGGAUCUAAUGCAGUUGGUGAUUUCGAGUGGAAGCCAAUGCUCAUUUACCAUUCUGAAAAUUCUAGGGCCUUAAAAAUCAUCAUAAGUCUCGACUGACUGUACUCUACAAAUGGAAUAACAAAGCCUGGAUGACAGCACAUCUGUUUACAACACGGUUUACUGAAUAUUUUAAGCCCACAGUUGAAGACCUAGUGCUCAGAAAAAUAUUCCUUUCAAAAUAUUGCUGCUUAUUGACAAUGUGCCUGGUUAGCCAAGAACUCCAAUGAUGAUGUACAGAGAUUAAUGUUGCUUUCAUGCCUGCAAUAACCAUUCUGCAGCUCAUUGAUCAAUGAGUAAUUUUGACUGUUAAGUCCCACUAUUUAAGAAAGACAUUUCAUAAGGCCAUAGCUGCCACAGAAAGAGAUUCCUCUGAUGGAUCUGGGCAAAGUAACCUGAAAACCUUCUGAAAAGGAUUCACCAUACUAGAUGCCAUAAAUAACAAUCAUGAUUCACAAGAGAAGGGCAAAAUACCAACAUUAAUAGGAUAUUUGGUUAACGAUACCAACGCUUAUGGAUAACUCUGAGGGGUUCAAGACUUCAUUGGAGAAAGUAACUGGCUGUAAAUAGCAAGAGAGAUAGAAUUAUAAGUGGAUUGUAAAGAUGUGACUGAAUUGCUGUGCACAUUGUUGAAAUGACAAAAAAAAAUUUAGAACAGUACUGUAGUGGCAUGGGUUUGACCCCAAUUUUGAAAGAAGAUCUACUAUGGGGAAAAUACUAUCAAACAGCAUCAUAUGCUACAGAGGAAUCUUUGGUGAAAGGAAGAGUCAAUGUGGCAAACUUCAUUGUUGCCUUAUUUUAAGAAAUACCCACAUCCACCUCAGUCUUCAGUAACCAUCACGCUGAUUCAGUCAGCAGCCAUCAACAUCAAGGCGAGAUCCUCUACCAGCAAAUAGGUUACAACUCACUCAAGGCUCAAAUGUUUAUUAGCAUUUUCUAACAAUAAAGCAGUUUUAAAAUAAGAUAUACACAUUGUCUUUUUAGACAUGAUGCUAUUUUGCACACUUAAUAGACUGUAGUACAAUGUAAACAAAACUUUUAUACGCACCAGGAAACAAAAAAAAUCCCUGCAACUUGCUUUAUUGCAUUGGUAUGGAAUCUAACCAGUAAUACCUCAGCAGUAUACAUGUUUUACUAACAGUUUUGUUUAAUCAACUGAAUUUUGUUGAUGAAUUAUUUCACUCAACAUUUUUUUAGCCAUGUAUUGAACCAGUCACUGGAACUAACAUUAUAAUGACGAAAGGCAGACAAUACCUUAGUUAAUAAUAAAUUGUAGAGUAUACUAGAGGGUUAUGUGCUAAGUAGUAACAAAAGCAGUCUAAGAAAAGAGGAUAGGAAGUAUAUAUGAUGUAGGAUGGUUUGUGCUUUUUAGAUAGGGUCUCACUGAGGUUACAUUUGCACAAAGAUUAGAAGGAGAUGAAGAAGCCACCUGAGAGAAAGAAUUCCAAGCACAGUGAACAGAAGCCUCAAAGAUACUGAGGGUUGCAGCAUAUCUGGUAUAAUGGAGGAAUAGUAAUAUAAAGCCUCGUGUGUGGCAGGAGAAACAUGAACAAAGAGAAAAGUAAAUGGGGAAAAGAUCGUGUGGGAUCUCACAAGCCCUUUUGAAGUACUCUGGCUUUAAACUCUGGGUGAUGGCCGGGCAGGGUGCCCUACGUGUGUAAUCCAGCACUUUUGGAGGUCAAGUGGGGAGGAUCACUUAAAACCAGGAGCUCAAGACUAGCCUGGGCAACAUAGUGAGACCUUGUCUCUACAAUAAAUUUUUUUUAAAAAUGAGCCAGGCACAGUGGUACGCACCUGUAGUCUCAGUUACUCAGGAAGCUGAGGUGGGUAGAUUACUUGAGCCCAGAAAUUUGAGGCUGCAGUGAGCUAAGAUUGUCCCACUGCACUCCAGCCUGCAUGGCACCAAGACCCUGUCUCUAAAAGCAAACACCACCACCACCAAAAACUCUGGAUAACAGUGAUUGAGUUCCAUAGUACAAAAAGAUGACAGACAGAAUGACUCCGGUCAGUUCAGUAUCAUUAAUCAAAUGCCCAUUAAAAUAGAGAAGCGCUGAAAAAUAAAGAAGCAUCAGUCUUUAAAAGAAUCAGUCAGGAGAACUUUGUUUCCAGGCCUGUUUAUUGGCUGCUUAGUCUUACAUACAUUCUUGUCAUCUCUGAUUCAUGGUUUCUUCACUUUUAAGAUGGGGAUAACAAGAACAGCCCUGCUUUAACAUAGGUUAAAUGUUUUGAAAAUUUAAAACACUAUACAAUUAGCCCUGUAUGUCCAUGAGUUCUGCAUCUAUGGAUUCAAGAACCAUGGAUCGAAAAUUCAGUGUUUGCAGGAUGCAGAACCUCAGCUGUGGAGGACCAACUUUUAGUAUCUAUGUGUUCCCCAGGACCCACUGAAGGACCUAAGCAUCCAUGGAUUGUGGUAUCUGCAGUAGGUCCUGGAACCAACCCACUGAGGGACGAAUGCAUUAUGUUAGUUGUUUUCUUCUUUUUAUUUUACUCUCCAGUUUAUAACCACUUCUAAAGUAAUCUAAAUGAUCCUGAAACCUUGCACAUAAAUUAAGUUUUUAAUAAAUUUAGUCAUGCCUUUACAACAUUAAGGAAGUUCUGUAUUGGUAGUACAUUUAUAUUCUCAAAGAAAGAAUUUUUUUGAAACAAUAUUCUUUCAAUAAACUUUAUUAGACACCAAGUCUACCCCAUGAACUAUGCUAAAGUAUAUAUAAAAAUCACUACCUUUAAGGGGCUUACUUUGGUGAGGGGCACAGACACAAACAGAUAAUUUAAAAAUAUUAUGGCUUCCACUCCAGCACAAGAUUUCAAACACCUCGUUCCCUCCAUCUAUCUCAACCCUACAGAUUACGCAAAAGCAAAAAUAAGUCUAUUGAAUAAAAAACCUUGGGGCACUAAAAGCAAUUGGCAUCUAGAGUGUCAAGGAAAUGGCAACCAGGAGAUGGAGCAGGCCAAAUGCUACCAACUGGGAAAGACCUAGUAGUGACCUUUUCCAGUCUUUACACCGCUCUGGCAGAGAAUUCCUACCCUGUGGGAUACAAUGAAACAGAACGGCUCUGCUACCACCCCAGUGCCAUCUGGAUGAUACAGGAGAUUACUAUAUCAGGAAAGCACCAGAAGACAAGCAGUUUGGGAAACGGUAACAAGUUCAGGUGAUUGGCAAGGACUCUGUGUGUUCUGUCCUCACCGCACUGCAUACAUAGAAUAAGGAAAGCAGGUUCUAGAGAAGAUCAUGCCUCGUUGGCAAGUCAACAGGAAGUUCCUUUUUGGCACCAAUUCUCAAACUGUAUCACCCCGAAUCAAGCCCAUACACCCCCACCUUUGCUCCAUGAAAUCACGCAAAGACACAAGUUAGAGCCUAGUCUUUCACCCUCCUCCCAGGCAAAUACUACUAGCUCAUAACUUGGUACUUCCAUGAAAAAUACAACUAGACACUUGGAGAGUAUGAGCACAACAAAAGAAAGACAAUAAACUGAACUUUAUACCAUGAGAAAAAAGACUAAAGAGAACGUAAAUUUAAAACAAGCAUAAAUAUUCACCAAUUGAAGAUAUGUAUAGAUUUUUUAAACUGCUGAAAUAAAAAACUCGACAGGUUAACUAGAAAACUGAAUACAGGACAAGAACAUACUAGUGAGCAACAAGUUCAGAUCAAGCAAUUCUCCUACAAAGCAUUAAAAAAGGAAUAAGGAAGUAGAAAACAUAAACACUUCUCAAAAGCUAUGAGACAUGAUUAAAAUAAUUAAAUGUCAAUAUCUAUCCAAUAAGAUUCCUAGAGAGGGAUAUAAGUAGAUAUGUCUAGAAAUGAUUAAGAAUUUCCCAGAAUUAAAGACUGAAAAACUCAGAUACAAACAGGAUGUGUAACUCAAAGAAUCCAAACAUGAUGUAGUAAAAAAGAGAAGUAGGACAAAAAUUGUGAAACCUUAUACUAACUUGAAAAAAGGAGAUUUCCAAGUCAACUGAUAAACAAUAAAAAAAAUAAAUCCCAAACUAAAAUUUUACAAAAACUAACAGAUAUCUUUACAAAAGGCCUGAUUAAGGUUAAAAAAAAAAAAAAAAAAGAGAGAGAGAGAGAGAAACAUGAACACUAAUAAAAUUGACAAAGGAGAAAUGACUAGACACAUAAGCAAUGGAAAGAAUACAAGAAAAAAUGAAAAGCUUAAAAAGACUAGUUUAGAAGAAAAUGGAAAAGAGAUAAAAGUUAUUUCAUUUUAAAUGGCAUCUGGAUAGACAAAUUCUAAACUUCAAAUAACUGUUGAUUCUAGUGUUAAAUCACUGCAGGCCACAGGGUAAAUAAAACAGUAAGAAUCCCCAAAUCAUUUCAUAAAGCUAACAUAUCCUUAUUAUCAAAACAUGAUAAACCUCAUACCAAUUUGACAUGAUUAUAGGUACAAAAAUUAUAAAUAAAAUGCUAGCAAACAUAAUCUACCGAUACGUCAAAGGAAUAACAUACAAUUGAAAAGAAUAAUGACAAGCGUGGUUUCUUAUGAGAAUGCAAAUGUGAGUCUGUAUUUAUUCUCUCAAUAAACAUUUGGGAGGCUGUGAAGAAAAUAGCUAACACAGCAUUAUUCAUAAUAUUCAAAAAGGGGAAACAAUCCAAAUGUCCAUCAACCAGUCAAUGGAUGAACAAAAUGUGUUAUGUAUAUUCAUACAAUGAAAUAUUAUUCAGCCAUUAAAAAAUGAAGAAGCAACAUAUAUUACAACAUGAACGAACAUUAAAAACACUAAGCAAAGUAUAAGCAGUCAGUCACAAAAGACCAUAUAUUAUAUGAUUCCAUUCAUAUGAAAUGUUUUUUAAAAAGAGCAAAAGAAAAGACUUUACAUAGCACCCCUUAGACUGCCAUCCUUACAAUGGUCUGCUUGCAAGGCUGACCUUUGGGAACUCAAGAUUUGGGGAGGCUUUCCAACACACUGAUAAGAGUGGGUCACUAUAGCUAAACUGCACAAACAAAAUUUUUAUCCUGAAUACCUGUUUUCCUUCUGGAACACUGCAAUUGUGGUACAUUCCAGGCAGAGGAUGCUUAUGUGACCAUCCCACAAUAAAAUGUUAAGUACUGAAUCUCUAAUGAGCUUCCUGGUACACAACAUUUUACAUGUGUCAUCACAAUCUGUUGCUGGAGAAAUCAGUGUGCCCUGUGUGACUCCACUUGUAGAAGACAAUUGGAAGUUUGUGCCUGGUUUCAGGCUGACUUCACCUCCUGCUCCUUCUCUGUCUGCUGAUUUUGCUUUAUAUCCUUUCACUGUAAUAAAUCACAGCAAUGCAUAUAACUAUAUGCUGAGCUCUGUGAGUCCUGCUAGAGAAUCAACAAAACUGGCAGGUGGGAGGGAUCUAGUACAGUAGUUGAAAGGUACUUCAUUUUUAUCACACUGACAAAAAUACUAAAACACUGUUGGUGAGAAUAAAAGGGAAAAGGUACUUUCUUUCACGGCUAACAAGAAAUGUAAUCAUACUAUUAUACCCUCUGGCAAUAUUAUAUCAACAUGGCCACAACUAUUAAAGUUAAAAACUUAACACACUUCAACCCCUAAAACUCAAUACUGAGAAUCUAUACCCCAGAAAUAAAAGUACUAUUUUUAUUGAGAUAUAUUAGGUUAUAGCAGUAAAUAAUGAAAGAAAUAAAGUAAAUAUCUAUCAUUAGGAACAUAAUUGCUAACAGGGUGUUUGCAGUGAAUUCCUAUAAUUUUGUGUUACCUCUGCAUCCACUUUGAACAUAAGCUGGAUUUUCUCAUACCAGAAGCAGUGCUCUGUUAAGCCUGACAGUUUCCAGUUUUCUACCUCCUCCUAGUUCCUCAGUGUGGUUAAUACAGACAUCUACUUCAUACAACUGCUUCCUACUCACCACCUCUUUAUAGGUGGUCAGUGAAAUUCAAACCACAUAACUUGACCUGCUGACUCACACAGCAUGCACAGGCUGUGCAGAUAUGCCACAGUGACCACCUUUCAGUCACAGUGACUCCAUGGAACAUGUACCCACAUACUCUAAACCCACCAAUUAGAACUCCCUACAGGAAACCCACCUAGGCAAUACCCUGGGCCCCGGUAAAGGUUUUGGCCCACAAGUUCCCCUCUCUCUGUCUUUUGUUCCCCACCCAGUGGUUGAAUGUGCAUGUAUCAGUGGCUCCCCACUUCCAGUUGGCCAUAGGAGACGUGCUGCCCUCUUGUCUCUGGAUUUGUAAGUAAUAAACUGCUUCUGUUAUUUCAUGUUUUGGUGAGUCGUAUCCUGUGUAUCUCACCCAAUUACACCUGAAUUCAGCUUCUUUUCUGGUCAGGACUCUCCUAGAGAAUGGCUAUCUUGAUAGAAAUAAACUCAACACAGGUAAGACAAGAGUCACAAGGGCAUCUGCCAGUAUAAACAAGUUUCCUGUGAGAGGGACACCUGUCGAGGGUCAGGGACACUAAGGCAUUAGGUCAUAUGCCAGGAAAAAGAAGUAUCCUGUGAAAAGCACAUUGUAAACACCCAUGACCACAUCUCCUGAAGUCCUAUCAGGGUAAGAGUAGUGUUUAUAGCCAUUCUCCAGAGACAGACCACAAGAUCAAAUUCCAGGAAAAUACAACAGUGUUUUUGAAUGACUAAGGCAAAAUGCAGAAACUUAAUAUUACCUCAUUUUGGUAAAACAAUAUAUGUGUGAAAACAUAUACACUAUACAUGAUCACCUGAGUAAGGAGUAUAUAUAUGUAUAAUUGAAACAGGGCUAGACAGCCAACUUAGAUAAUAAAAAAGAUUAAACUCAGUGAUGUGCAGUUGAAGCCCAAAGAAAAAAAGAACAAAACAUAUAAAUAUGCAAAGCCAGACAUAUGCAUAUUAUAACAUAAGAUCUGUGUGGAAGCAAAAUAGGCUUCCUGGAGAGGUUACAUCUUACUAUAUAUUGAAAAAUGAGCACAAGUUUUGUGUGUAUGUUGGGAAGAUGAGAUGUAUUUCAAAGAAAUGCUAUGAACCAAGUAAUGAAGUAAUAUACAUAAUAAAGUAUGAGGUAGACAGAACCAGGGGUCAGAUCAUGGCUGCUCUUGAAGGUCACAUAAGAAAUUUAGCCUUUACCUAAUAGGUGGUGAAAAGCUUUUGUUGGUUUUAAGCAGGGAAAUUACAAUCAGACUUGUGGUAUAAACAGACAUGGCAAUGAAUAAGAUGAAUUUGAGGUAAAUUAAACUGCAAGUAAAACAGGUAAAUCAGGAGGCUGGUGAAGGAUUGCAGAGGAGAGAUGGCAUGAGCCUACACAAGGGCAGUGAUAGCAGGAAAAGGGGAUGAAUAUAACACAUCUUUCAGAAGUAGUCAGCAAAACCUAUGAAGCAGAGAGGAAAGUAAAGAAAGUUCCCAGAUUUCUACAAUGAAUGGUAGUAGGAUUGUUAUACCAACUCAAAUAGCAUUUAUAGGAAAGUAAGCUUGAGAGAAAAUACUGAGUUCCAUUUAGGAUAAAAUGAAUGAGUUUCUAUAGAACAUUCAAAGGGAGAGAUCCAGUAAACAUUUAGAUUCAAAAGGUAAUCUUGGGGAAGAGUUCAGGGUUGGACAUAAUGGAUUUUCAAGUCAUGAACAUAUAAACAUAAGAAUAGAUGAAAUGCUAAAGAAAGGGCAUGUAAGUGAGAAGAGUGGCAGCUUGAAAGAAUAUCAGAAACACCAGGUUUAUGGUAGUUAUUAUACUGGAACCAAAAGGACAACAUUAUUUUAGUCUUUAUUUCACAUAAUAGCACCAUAUAUAGAUGGCUGGAUGGAUUAUAGCAGAUGGCCACUAUGGUCUAUGUUGUAUGCAAUUGUUACUGUAUCUGACAGAGGUCUAGGACUAUGUUGCUCAGACCAUUCAGCUUUAUAAUACCCAGGAAGAAUACCUGGUAUAAGGAAGGCAGGGUAGAGGGAAUCUAACUCUAACAAAAGAUCUAGAGGAACAGCUAGUAAUUAACUCCUUCCUCCCUUUUAUUCAUCUAAGUCUACUUAUACUACACAACUGUAGUUUUCCUUACUUUUUCUUCUAUUUUAUUUGUUUCUAUUCUACUUAUAUUUUAGUCUAUUUGCUAUUUUAUAAGUUACAAAUUAAACAAUUCAGAGGUCACUAGUAUCUCAGUGAGAGCUAAUUAAUUUUCAUAUGUACAAUAUUUUUGUACAUAGGAUGUUUAAGUUAACCAGCUUUUGAGGUAUAAGUUGCAAUCAAUAAAAUUAAUCGUGUUAGUGUACAGUUCAGUAAGUUUUGACAAACAUACAGUCAUGUAACCAUUACCACAAUCACCCUGAGAAGCUCUCCUGUGCCCCUUCACAGGCAAUAACCUUCCUUAAGUGUGGUAGGCAGAAUUCUGAAAGUGUACCCACUCCCCACAUCCCCAGAUUUCGUACCCUACAGGAACCUGUAAAUAUGAUACCUAUUCCAUUAUCACACUAUGUUAUAUGGCACAAGUGACCUAAAAAUAUGGUGAUUAUCUGGUUGGGCCUAAUGUAAUCACAUGAAUCCUUAAAAGCAGAGUGCUUUCUCUGGCUGGUGAUAGAAAAAGAGAUUUGAAGCAUGAGAAAGACUUGAUGUGUAAUUGCUGCUUUAAAGGUGAAGGGGGUCUUUAACAUAAGAGAACAGAUCCUGGUUGACAGCUAACAAAGAAACGGGCCUUACUCCUACAAGGAAACACCUCUGCCAACAACCUGAAUGAACCCAGAAGCAGAUUCUUCUUCCUUAAGACCUCCAGAUAAAAGGCCAGUCCAUUUGACACCUUGACCCCUCUUGUGAGACCCAGAGCAGAGAACUCAGUUAAAAAACGACCUAGACUUCUGACCCACUAACACUGUGAAAUAAUAAAUGUGCAUUGUUUUAAGCUGUCAAAAUUGUGGUAAUUUGUUAGAUAGUAAUAGAAAAUUAAUACAUUCAACCCGCAAGAAAACACAGAUCCACUGUCCUAGUUUCAACUUUUCUAGAAUUUCUCAUGAAUGGUCUCAUACUUUUGAGUUUCAUCUGUACUGUUGCACAAAUCGGUAGUUAUACAUUCCUUUUUAUUACUGAGUAAUAUUCUUUCUUAUCUCUUUACCAGUAGAUAGAUUAACUAGAGUUGUUUCCAUUUUGGAGUUAUAAUGAAUAAAGUAACUACAUACACUCAAGUAUAAUUCUUUCUGUGGACACAUUUCUCUUGUAUAUACCGUAUGGUAAGGUAAAUGUAUGUUUAACCUUAUAGAAAAUUGCCAAAGUGCUUUCCCAAGUUUUUGAAUAUUAUACAAUUUUUAAUUCUCUCCUUAUGUAGGAGAGCUGUAACUACUCCACAUCUUCAACAAUUGUUACUGUCUUUUUAAUUUAAGCUAUUCUAGUGGGGGUGUUUAUCAGUAUCACAUUAUGGUUAUAAUGCGCAUUUCUAUAAUGACUAAUGAUGCAGAGUAGCUGUUCAUGUGCUUAUGCCAUUCGUAUAUCUUUAGAGAAACAUACAUUCAAAUCUUCUACUCAUUAUUUCAUUAGGUUGUAUGUGUUAUUGAUACGGGAGUGCUGGGAGCAUGGUCCCUUUAAAUGAUACAGAAGCAGGGAAGGGAAGUGUUGGGUAGAAGAGGAUGUGGUCCCUGGUUAGGGAUCCACCCCAUGGACCUAGGUGAAAACAGGCACUCCUGCCUUCAUGCCCGAAUGUUGCAUUUCCCAAGACCACCCUGGCCCACCAUGCCCCCAUCCCAGGCCUACAAAAACCCAAAACACUAGUGAGCAGACACAUAGGCAACCAGGCGUCAAGAUGGGCACAUCAGCGGAAGAAGAUGCAAGGAGCUGGUCCUCAAAAGGGGCACCUAGAAGAAAAGCACACCAACAGACACCGGCACACCACCAGGCCAUUGACUAGUGGGAUGAGGCAGAGUUUGGCAGUCAGAGGAGAGCCAGGGCCAAUGAGUGGCCCAACUCCACAGGAAAACCAUCUCCCUUCUGGCUUCCCCAUGGUCUGAAAACUACUUCCACUCAAUAAAACUUUGUACUCAUUCUCCAAGCCCACCUGUGAUCCAAUUCUUCUGGUACCCCAAGGCAAGAACUCUGAGAUACAGAAAGCCCUCUGUUUUGUGACAAGGCAGAGGGUCUAAUUGAGCUGGUUAACACAAGCCGCCUAUAGGCAAACUAAAAGAGCACCCUGUAACACACGCCCACUGGGGCAUCAGGAGCUGUAAACAUUCACCCCUAGACCCUGCGUGGGAUCGGAGGCCCACAGCCUGCCCAUCUGCAUGCUCCCUUAGAGGUUUAAGCAGUGGGGCACUGAAGAAGCCAGUCACACCCCCAUCACAUGCCCUGCAAGGGGAACAAGGGAACCUUUCCUGUUUAAUUAUUAUUGACUUUUAAGUGUUCUUUAAUUAUGAUAAAGUUUUUCAUUUUGAUGAAGUCCAAUUUACCCAUUCUUUAAUUUUAUGAUUGUUGCGUUUUUGUGUCCUGAUAUUUGUCACAAAAAAAUGUUUUCCUGUGUUCCUUUAGAAGUUUUAAAGUUUUGGCUCUUAUGGUUAGCUCUAUGAUUCAUUUCAAGUGUGCGUGCGUGUGUGCAUGCGUGCAUGCGUGCGUGCGUGCUUGUGUGUAUGUGUGUGGCAUUAGAUAAGGCUUUGGGUUAAUUCUGUUCAAACAAAAUCCAAUUUUCCAGCACCAUUUUUAAAAAUGAGUAUGCUUUUAAUCCCUAAAUUGCUUUGGAAUACUUUUGUCAAAAAUUAAUUGAUUACAGCCAGGGCCAGUGGCUCAUGCCUGCAAUCCUAGCACUUUGAGAGGGUGAGGUGAGAGAAUCACUUGAGUCCAGGAGUUCGAGAGUAUCUUGGGCAACAUAGUGAGACCCAUCUCUACAAAAGAUAGAAAAAUCAGCCAGGCAUGGUAGCACAUGCCUAUAGUCCCAGCCACUCAGGGGGCCGAGCUGGGAGGGUUGUGUGAGCCUGGGAGGUAGAGGCUACAGUGACCUGUGAUUGUGCCACUACACUUCAGCCUGGGUGACAGUGUGAGACCUUGUUUCAAAAAAAAGAAAAAAAAUUAAUUGAUUACUGAUGUAGUAGAUAUAUUUCUGGUCUCUC